GACGGAGGAUGCAAGCGUUAUCCGGAAUGAUUGGGCGUAAAGCGUCCGCAGGUGGCAGUUCAAGUCUGCUGUCAAAGACCGGGGCUUUAACUUCGGAAAGGCAGUGGAAACUGAACAGCUAGAGUAUGGUAGGGGCAGAGGGAAUUCCUGGUGUAGCGGUGAAAUGCGUAGAGAUCAGGAAGAACAUCGGUGGCGAAGGCGCUCUGCUGGACCAUAACUGACACUCAGGGACGAAAGCUAGGGGAGCGAAUGGG
rnacentral:rRNA from 1 species